GUUUCCGUUGUGCUCGGGAGCAGUCGCGUAGUCGCCCGUGUCCAGCUCCUUCUUUGUUCUUUGUUCCGAAAUCGGUCUUCUUCUUCUUCGGACCUCGAACGUCGCCUCACGCUUCCUGCCUUCGUCAAAGGGCCUCCUUUCGUUCGACACAUUGGGCGCAAGAGCGAGUUGCACGGCUGGCCCUCCGUUUCAAGUGACCUCCUUCAGCUGCGGAUGACCUGUGCUUAAUCAAGACCGCUUGAAUGGCAACUGAGAACUUGCUCCAAGCAAAAAGUGUUUUU
rnacentral:lncRNA from 1 species